GAGAGAGAGGUGGUUAGGGUUUUGAAUCCGGAGAGAGCUGAUGCGUUCUUCGUGCCAUUUUUCUCCUCUUUGAGCUUCAAUACGCAUGGCCAUAACAUGACUGAUCCUGAGACCGAGAAGGAUCGCCAAUUGCAGGUAUUUUUUAUCAUUUAUUCAAUUUACAAUGUGUAUAUUUUAGAGGAUUUUUAUUAAUAGGCAAUUAGUCAUUGAAUCUUGAUCUAGUUUGUGUUUAACAGCUUUGGAAACUGGAGGAAAGAGAGCCAAAUAAACAAAAGCAGCUGAAUAAUUAGUUGUUGUAACUAGUCAGCUAUUUUUUUAGCACGAAGAGCUAAAAUUUGCAGACUAUAGCCUUAGUUUUUUUAGAAAAUUAGAUAGAUUCAUUUCUGAUUGUAGGGAAAUUCAGAACUCAAUGAUGUAUAGAUUCUAUUAUUAGCUGCAGUUUGAUUGAUGAGUGUAAAAUUUGAAAAUAUGGAAUGUGGAAAUCAUUUGGUGAAUCAUUUUAAAAGAACUUAGAUCUUCUGCUGCGGUUUUCUUACUGAAGCAGUUGUGCAUAACAAACUAUUGAGCUCACAAGUUGUGAAAUAGCAUGGUUUUCAGCAAUCUCCUCAAGGAAAUGGUUCUAUGUAUCUAUGCUUAAGAAGGUAAGAAAGGGAAAAAGUUACCAUUAUACUGAAUUAGUCAGGUUAUAAGUGCUUCUAUAUGUUUAUAGUUGGCAAAAGAAAGAGCCGAGGACAUGAACCAAUCGUUCCUUUGAAAAUUUUAUUAUAGUGUUUAACUUGUGAAAAGUU
rnacentral:misc_RNA from 1 species